UUUCUGCUUUGCCGGGAGAGGCAUGUAGACACUCCAGACUUGGUUAUAUUCUCUGUGCAAUCUCGGCAAGAAGCACCAUGCACAACUACAACUUGAAACAAACAGUUUGAAAUAGGAAGCUCCCAGUCAUAUCAAAUUUUGGUUGAUAAUAUUUCAUCUUAAUCCGUUUGUACUAAAAAAUAGUCUAUUGAAACUGUGAACUGGUGCUAACUUAAUUUUUUUGUGUAGUUCAGUCAACAUCAAGAUGCAGUACCUGAUGUCGAUGAGGAUGCGGAGUGGAGAAACGACUUGAGUAGGGCUAGUGAUCGCCGCCUUGCAGUUCAUCUAAUUCGAAAGUAUCUCUUGCCGUGGACAUGGCAAGUGAUAAUUCAUUUUGUUGUUGUCGUGAACAAAUUUGAAUGAUGAUGGCACAUGAAAACGGUUUCGACCAACGCUCGAUCUGAAUGAGAUGUGGACCGACCGGUAUCUGAACCCUUGUGAAGUGAUGGCUAUUGGUCGUAAUAAUUCCAAAAAAUCUAGUUUACAUAAAUUCUGAGAUUUUAUAUGUGUUUGUUUUUUCAGAAUUAUUCGUGGAAUUCUUAUCUAUGGUCCAUUGUUAUCUGUAGAAUUUUGUAUGAAG
rnacentral:lncRNA from 1 species